rnacentral:rRNA from 1 species
UCGGUGUCUAGUCGGUGACCCAUUUGACCCGUCUUGAAACACGGACCAAGGAGUUUAAGGUGUGCGCGAGUCAUUGGGCGGAAAACCCAAAGGCGUAAUGAAAGUGGGACACUUGGUGUCUGUGAUGCGAUCCAUGGACAAUUCGUUGUGUGUGGAGCAGCAUCGACCCAUGACCAGAACUUGUUCUGUUGUGGAGUCUGAGCGUACGCUUUGAGACCC